GCGCAGAACUGGAGCUGAGGACGUCACCAUGGAAACGAGGCGGCAGCCCAACCGUCAAGCAGCUGAUCGCUGACACUCAAUGUGGUUUCACUUUUUUUUUAGAAAUGGUUUAGCGUCGUCAGAAAAAGUCCGUUAGCAUCUCAAAGAAGUGCCAGAAAAAAAACUCUAUGACACAGAAGUUCCUGAUUUUAACAUUUCUGAAGGGAGCUGCUGACAGAGAGGAUGAAAACAUACACAUUUUGAUGUCCACGCUGUAGGAGCAUUACUAAAUAAUGCUUAUGUUCCUAGGUUCUUCCAUGCUGAUGGCUGUGCUCUAGUCAUAUCUCCUGUCGAAGAACAUUUUUAGACAUUAUGAACCAUGAAUAAGUUUAGCUCCAACCCCAGUUAAGCAGACCUGAGCAGCUGAUCAAGGAUCAGCAGAAACUCUGCAGAACGGUGGUCCUCCAGCCCAGGACUGGACACCAGUGUUAGUGUCUGUCUCAGAAGCUGAAGAAAAAAGGUCACACCUUAUAGGAAAUAAACGCCUCCUAAGUGUACGGAAAUACCUGGAUGAGGAGAUCAGUGACAUAAACCAGAUAAAACUGUCAGUGGUCUGAGACAGCUACAAGCCACAAAAACAGUUCAUAGUUCCUGCAUUUCUAUAAUGCAUUAAUGAAUAA